UGCGUAGGUGGUAUGGCAAGUCAGAAGUGAAAACCCAGGGCUUAACUCUGGGACUGCUUUUGAAACUGUCAGACUAGAGUGCAGGAGGGGUAAGCGGAAUUCCUAGUGUAGCGGUGAAAUGCGUAGAUAUUAGGAGGAACAUCAGUGGCGAAGGCGGCUUACUGGACUGAAACUGACACUGAGGCACGAAAGCGUGGGGAGCAAACA
rnacentral:rRNA from 1 species